AACUGGGGAACUUGAGUGCAGAAGAGGAGAGUGGAAUUCCACGUGUAGCGGUGAAAUGCGUAGAGAUGUGGAGGAACACCAGUGGCGAAGGCGACUCUCUGGUCUGUAACUGACGCUGAGGCGCGAAAGCGUGGGGAGCGAACAGGAUUAGAUACCCUGGUAGUCCACGCCGUAAACGAUGAGUGCUAAGUGUUAGAGGGUUUCCGCCCUUUAGUGCUGCAGCAAACGCAUUAAGCACUCCGCCUGGGGAGUACGGUCGCAAGACUGAAACUCAAAGGAAUUGACGGGGGCCCGCACAAGCGGUGGAGCAUGUGGUUUAAUUCGAAGCAACGCGAAGAACCUUACCAGGUCUUGACAUCCUCUGACAACCCUAGAGAUAGGGCUUCCCCUUCGGGGGCAGAGUGACAGGUGGUGCAUGGUUGUCGUCAGCUCGUGUCGUGAGAUGUUGGGUUAAGUCCCGCAACGAGCGCAACCCUUGAUCUUAGUUGCCAGCAUUCAGUUGGGCACUCUAAGGUGACUGCCGGUGACAAACCGGAGGAAGGUGGGGAUGACGUCAAAUCAUCAUGCCCCUUAUGACCUGGGCUACACACGUGCUACAAUGGGCAGAACAAAGGGCAGCGAAGCCGCGAGGCUAAGCCAAUCCCACAAAUCUGUUCUCAGUUCGGAUCGCAGUCUGCAACUCGACUGCGUGAGCUGGAAUCGCUAGUAAUCGCGGAUCAGCAUGCCG
rnacentral:rRNA from 1 species